CCUGACUGCUAUCGGAUUGAUACUAAGCCAUGUGAGUCAUUGUAGCAAUACAAGGCAGACGGCUCAGUAACACGUAGCCAAUCUACCCUAUGGACGGGGAUAACCUCGGGAAACUGAGGAUAAACCCCGAUAGAUCAUUAUGCCUGGAACGGUUUAUGGUCCAAAUGAUUCGUCGCCAUAGGAUGGGACUGCGGCCUAUCAGCUUGUUGGUGAGGUAAUGGCCCACCAAGGCUAUUACAGGUACGGGCUCUGAGAGGAGAAGCCCGGAGAUGGGUACUGAGACACGGACCCAGGCCCUAUGGGGCGCAGCAGGCGAGAAACCUUUGCAAUGUGCGCAAGCACGACAAGGUUAAUCCGAGUGUUUCCUGCUAAAGGAAUCUUUUGUUAGUCCUAAAAACACUAGCGAAUAAGGGGUGGGCAAGUUCUGGUGUCAGCCGCCGCGGUAAAACCAGCACCUCAAGUGGUCAGGAGGAUUAUUGGGCCUAAAGCAUCCGUAGCCUGCUCUGUAAGUUUCCGGUUAAAUCCAUUAGCUCAACUGAUGGGCCGCCGGAAAAACUGCAAAGCUAGGGAGUGGGAGAGGUAGACGGUACUCGGUAGGAAGGGGUAAAAUCCUUUGAUCUAUUGAUGACCACCUGUGGCGAAGGCGGUCUACCAGAACACGUCCGACGGUGAGGGAUGAAAGCUGGGGGAGCAAACCGGAUUAGAUACCCGGGUAGUCCCAGCUGUAAACGAUGCAGACUCGGUGAUGCCCUGGCUUGUGGCCAGUGCAGUGCCGCAGGGAAGCCGUUAAGUUUGCCGCCUGGGAAGUACGUACGCAAGUAUGAAACUUAAAGGAAUUGGCGGGGGAGCACCACCAAGGGGUGAAGCCUGCGGUUC
rnacentral:rRNA from 1 species